ACGGAGGGUGCAAACGUUAUCCGGAUUCGCUGGGUUUAAAGGGUGCGUAGGAGGGCAGGUAAGUCAGUGGUGAAAUCUCCAAGCUUAACUUGGAAACUGCCGUUGAUACUAUCUGUCUUGAAUACCGUGGAGGUGAGCGGAAUAUGUCAUGUAGCGGUGAAAUGCUUAGAUAUGACAUAGAACGCCAAUUGCGAAGGCAGCUCGCUACACGAAUAUUGACUCUGAGGCACGAAAGCGUGGGGAUCAAACAGGA
rnacentral:rRNA from 1 species